rnacentral:rRNA from 1 species
UUGGAGGGCAAGUCUGGUGCCAGCAGCCGCGGUAAUUCCAGCUCCAAUAGCGUAUAUUAAAGUUGUUGCAGUUAAAAAGCUCGUAGUUGAAUUUCGGGAUCAGAGUGUCGGUCGUGCCUCGGUACGAACUGGUAUUAUUGGUUCCUACCUUCUGAAGAACCGCGAUGUCAUUAAUUUGGUGUCGUGGGGAAUCAGGACUGUUACUUUGAAAAAAUUAGAGUGUUUAAAGCAGGCUUACGCUUGAAUACAUUAGCAUGGAAUAAUGAAAUAGGACGUUUGAUUCUAUUUUGUUGGUUUCUAGGAUUGACGUAAUGAUUAAUAGGGAUAGUUGGGGGCAUUAGUAUUCAAUUGUCAGAGGUGAAAUUCUUGGAUUUAUUGAAGACUAACUACUGCGAAAGCAUUUGCCAAGGAUGUUUUCAUUAAUCAAGAACGAAAGUUAGGGGAUCGAAGUCGGUCAGAUACCGUCGUAGUCUUAACCAUAAACUAUGCCGACUAGGGAUCGGAUGAUGUUAAUUUUUUAAUGACUCAUUCGGCGCCUUACGGGAAACCAAAGUGUUUGGGUUC